UCUUGCUACUUCAGUUCUGCAGUCAAAUAGUAAUGUCAUUUUCCUGAUAUUUCAGCUCCCAACCUGUUUGUCCUUUCCAAAUUCAUUUCUGUUUGGAUUGAGAGAGCUAUCAAUCAUACAGCUUAAUCAAUGUAUGCUGUUCUUUGCAGAUGUCAGUGCUAUCCAAACAGGCAUGACUAGGGAGUAGAUCAGUGGUGACCCACAUCUGGGGAGAAACAGCAAGGAUUGCCAGAGAACCACCUUUUGCUGAAAGAGAAGAAAAGGAAUACAUGUAAUACCUAAGAAAUGGAGAAAACAAAUGAACUUGUCUCCCUGGGAUUUUGGAAAACCAGUGCACCAUGUCUUGUGUUAGGCUGCAUUUCGGUCUUCGGACUGUGUUUCUGUGAUUCCUUCCAUCCAGUGUUGAUGAUGAUCAG